AAGUCGUAACAAGGUUUCCGUAGGUGAACCUGCGGAAGGAUCAUUAAAGAGUUGUCGCCACCCCCUCUGGGGGAUGAGGUCUCGGGUGAGGCUCGGAGUUAAACCCCCCGGGUCCCCGUCCUUCCCACCCUGUGUAUACCCUUCCCACGUUGCUUUGGCGGGCCCUGGGUGCGCCCUUCUGGGGCACCCUGCCGGCGUCGGACUUCGUCCCCCGCCGGCGAGCGCCCGCCAGAGACCCCUUACCAUUCUGCAUUUUUUUCAAUGUCGUCUGAGCAAAAACACAAAUAAAAUAAAA
rnacentral:misc_RNA from 1 species